GCAAGUCGAACGAUGAUGCCCAGCUUGCUGGGUUGAUUAGUGGCGAACGGGUGAGUAACACGUGAGUAACCUGCCCUUGACUUCGGGAUAACUCCGGGAAACCGGGGCUAAUACCGGAUAUGAGCCGUCCUCGCAUGGGGGUGGUUGGAAAGUUUUUCGGUCAGGGAUGGGCUCGCGGCCUAUCAGCUUGUUGGUGGGGUGAUGGCCUACCAAGGCGACGACGGGUAGCCGGCCUGAGAGGGCGACCGGCCACACUGGGACUGAGACACGGCCCAGACUCCUACGGGAGGCAGCAGUGGGGAAUAUUGCACAAUGGGCGAAAGCCUGAUGCAGCGACGCCGCGUGAGGGAUGACGGCCUUCGGGUUGUAAACCUCUUUCAGCAGGGAAGAAGCGCAAGUGACGGUACCUGCAGAAGAAGCGCCGGCUAACUACGUGCCAGCAGCCGCGGUAAUACGUAGGGCGCAAGCGUUGUCCGGAAUUAUUGGGCGUAAAGAGCUCGUAGGCGGUUUGUCGCGUCUGGUGUGAAAACUCGAGGCUCAACCUCGAGCUUGCAUCGGGUACGGGCAGACUAGAGUGCGGUAGGGGAGACUGGAAUUCCUGGUGUAGCGGUGGAAUGCGCAGAUAUCAGGAGGAACACCGAUGGCGAAGGCAGGUCUCUGGGCCGCAACUGACGCUGAGGAGCGAAAGCAUGGGGAGCGAACAGGAUUAGAUACCCUGGUAGUCCAUGCCGUAAACGUUGGGCACUAGGUGUGGGGCUCAUUCCACGAGUUCCGUGCCGCAGCAAACGCAUUAAGUGCCCCGCCUGGGGAGUACGGCCGCAAGGCUAAAACUCAAAGGAAUUGACGGGGGCCCGCACAAGCGGCGGAGCAUGCGGAUUAAUUCGAUGCAACGCGAAGAACCUUACCAAGGCUUGACAUGCACGGGAAGCCACCAGAGAUGGUGGUCUCUUUGGACACUCGUGCACAGGUGGUGCAUGGUUGUCGUCAGCUCGUGUCGUGAGAUGUUGGGUUAAGUCCCGCAACGAGCGCAACCCUCGUCCCAUGUUGCCAGCGGGUUAUGCCGGGGACUCAUGGGAGACUGCCGGGGUCAACUCGGAGGAAGGUGGGGGAUGACGUCAAAUCAUCAUGCCCCUUAUGUCUUGGGCUUCACGCAUGCUACAAUGGCCGGUACAAAGGGCUGCGAUACCGUAAGGUGGA
rnacentral:rRNA from 1 species